rnacentral:piRNA from 1 species
UACGACACCGUACAUGAGGAAUGGUCCAAGU